rnacentral:rRNA from 1 species
AUGAAAGCUCUCAUCUGGAAUGUAAGAGGUUUCGGCGCUAGGGGGCGUCAAGACCAGAUUCAUGACUUGGUCUAUGGUGAACACAUUGACAUUGUAGGGUUUGUCGAAAUGUUUAAGGAAUCCUUCUCCCCCUCUGAGUUGUCUGCGGUUGCAGGCAUGGAUAGAUUUGAUUGGAAUUUUCUUCCUUCCUCGAGUCACUCUGGGGGUAUCUUGAUUGGGUAUAAGCGGGAUGUGUUUGAUUUCAUUACUUUUGAUCAUGGCAUCUUUUGGGCUAGCGUGGUAGUUCAUCAUCGUCAGCUAAACACGUUAUGGGAAUUUCUAGUGGUUUAUGGCCCUGCUGAUCAUUCACUUGCGACUAUGUUUCUUGACGAGCUCUCUAAUAAGGUUGAGCCCUAUAAUAUUCCUCUAUUAAUUGGUGGUGAUUUCAAUCUCUUGCGUGCCAUGGCAGAUAAAAAUAGUCCUAAUUUCUCCUGGCCCCUGGCUAAUGCCUUUAAUGAGUUUAUUAGUAACUAUGUGAUUCAUGAGCUCCCUAGGGUGGGGGCGCGGUUCACUUGA